rnacentral:rRNA from 1 species
AUUGAACGCUGGCGGCAUGCCUAACACAUGCAAGUCGAACGGUAACAGGUCAAGUGAUCCCUUCGGGGUGAGCAAGAUGCUGACGAGUGGCGGACGGGUGAGUAAUGCGUAGGAAUCUACCUUCAAGUGGGGGAUAGCCCGGAGAAAUCCGGAUUAAUACCGCAUGUUCUCUACGGAGAAAAGCGGGCCUCUGUUUCAAGCUCGCGCUUGAAGAUGAGCCUACGUCGGAUUAGCUAGUUGGUAGGGUAAAGGCCUACCAAGGCGACGAUCCGUAGCUGGUUUGAGAGGAUGAUCAGCCACACUGGGACUGAGACACGGCCCAGACUCCUACGGGUGGCAG